AUUCCAGCUCCAAUAGCGUAUAUUAAAGUUGUUGCAGUUAAAAAGCUCGUAGUUGAAUUUAUGGAGGUACUUUAGGUCCACUUGUGGUACCAAAAACUACCUUCAUCUUUAGGCGGAACUUCUGUGUCAUUAGCUUGUCGCGGAAGGUAUGUCUAUCAUUUACUGUGAAAAAAUCAGCGCGUUCAAAGCAGGCUUAUGCCGUUGAAUGUAUUAGCAUGGAAUAAUAAGAUAGGACCUUGGAACUAUUUUGUUGGUUUGCGUACCGAGGUAAUGAUUAAUAGGGACAGUUGGGGGUAUUCGUAUUCCAUUGUCAGAGGUGAAAUUCUUGGAUUUCUGGAAGACGAACUACUGCGAAAGCAUUUACCAAGGAUGUUUUCAUUAAUCAAGAACGAAAGUUAGGGGAUCGAAGAUGAUUAGAUACCAUCGU
rnacentral:rRNA from 1 species